rnacentral:snoRNA from 1 species
UGCAGCCAUGUCAAAUUCAGUGCCUACCCUGCCAAUGGCAGGCACUGGCCCAAGAGACUGCCAUAGAAAUACUGUGACUCAUGGGCCCUGUAGCCCUUGCCUGCCUGGGCUCAGGGAUAAAUUUGGUCACCUUAAGCC